rnacentral:rRNA from 1 species
UUAAGCGACUAAGCGUACACGGUGGAUGCCCUGGCAGUCAGAGGCGAUGAAGGACGUGCUAAUCUGCGAUAAGCGUCGGUAAGGUGAUAUGAACCGUUAUAACCGGCGAUUUCCGAAUGGGGAAACCCAGUGUGUUUCGACACACUAUCAUUAACUGAAUCCAUAGGUUAAUGAGGCGAACCGGGGGAACUGAAACAUCUAAGUACCCCGAGGAAAAGAAAUCAACCGAGAUUCCCCCAGUAGCGGCGAGCGAACGGGGAGCAGCCCAGAGCCUGAAUCAGUGUGUGUGUUAGUGGAAGCGUCUGGAAAGGCGCGCGAUACAGGGUGACAGCCCCGUACACAAAAAUGCACAUGCUGUGAGCUCGAUGAGUAGGGCGGGACACGUGGUAUCCUGUCUGAAUAUGGGGGGACCAUCCUCCAAGGCUAAAUACUCCUGACUGACCGAUAGUGAACCAGUACCGUGAGGGAAAGGCGAAAAGAACCCCGGCGAGGGGAGUGAAAAAGAACCUGAAACCGUGUACGUACAAGCAGUGGGAGCACGCUUAGGCGUGUGACUGCGUACCUUUUGUAUAAUGGGUCAGCGACUUAUAUUCUGUAGCAAGGUUAACCGAAUAGGGGAGCCGAAGGGAAACCGAGUCUUAACUGGGCGUUAAGUUGCAGGGUAUAGACCCGAAACCCGGUGAUCUAGCCAUGGGCAGGUUGAAGGUUGGGUAACACUAACUGGAGGACCGAACCGACUAAUGUUGAAAAAUUAGCGGAUGACUUGUGGCUGGGGGUGAAAGGCCAAUCAAACCGGGAGAUAGCUGGUUCUCCCCGAAAGCUAUUUAGGUAGCGCCUCGUGAAUUCAUCUCCGGGGGUAGAGCACUGUUUCGGCAAGGGGGUCAUCCCGACUUACCAACCCGAUGCAAACUGCGAAUACCGGAGAAUGUUAUCACGGGAGACACACGGCGGGUGCUAACGUCCGUCGUGAAGAGGGAAACAACCCAGACCGCCAGCUAAGGUCCCAAAGUCAUGGUUAAGUGGGAAACGAUGUGGGAAGGCCCAGACAGCCAGGAUGUUGGCUUAGAAGCAGCCAUCAUUUAAAGAAAGCGUAAUAGCUCACUGGUCGAGUCGGCCUGCGCGGAAGAUGUAACGGGGCUAAACCAUGCACCGAAGCUGCGGCAGCGACGCUUAUGCGUUGUUGGGUAGGGGAGCGUUCUGUAAGCCUGUGAAGGUGUGCUGUGAGGCAUGCUGGAGGUAUCAGAAGUGCGAAUGCUGACAUAAGUAACGAUAAAGCGGGUGAAAAGCCCGCUCGCCGGAAGACCAAGGGUUCCUGUCCAACGUUAAUCGGGGCAGGGUGAGUCGACCCCUAAGGCGAGGCCGAAAGGCGUAGUCGAUGGGAAACAGGUUAAUAUUCCUGUACUUGGUGUUACUGCGAAGGGGGGACGGAGAAGGCUAUGUUGGCCGGGCGACGGUUGUCCCGGUUUAAGCGUGUAGGCUGGUUUUCCAGGCAAAUCCGGAAAAUCAAGGCUGAGGCGUGAUGACGAGGCACUACGGUGCUGAAGCAACAAAUGCCCUGCUUCCAGGAAAAGCCUCUAAGCAUCAGGUAACAUCAAAUCGUACCCCAAACCGACACAGGUGGUCAGGUAGAGAAUACCAAGGCGCUUGAGAGAACUCGGGUGAAGGAACUAGGCAAAAUGGUGCCGUAACUUCGGGAGAAGGCACGCUGAUAUGUAGGUGAAGUCCCUCGCGGAUGGAGCUGAAAUCAGUCGAAGAUACCAGCUGGCUGCAACUGUUUAUUAAAAACACAGCACUGUGCAAACACGAAAGUGGACGUAUACGGUGUGACGCCUGCCCGGUGCCGGAAGGUUAAUUGAUGGGGUCAGCGCAAGCGAAGCUCUUGAUCGAAGCCCCGGUAAACGGCGGCCGUAACUAUAACGGUCCUAAGGUAGCGAAAUUCCUUGUCGGGUAAGUUCCGACCUGCACGAAUGGCGUAAUGAUGGCCAGGCUGUCUCCACCCGAGACUCAGUGAAAUUGAACUCGCUGUGAAGAUGCAGUGUACCCGCGGCAAGACGGAAAGACCCCGUGAACCUUUACUAUAGCUUGACACUGAACAUUGAGCCUUGAUGUGUAGGAUAGGUGGGAGGCUUUGAAGUGUGGACGCCAGUCUGCAUGGAGCCGACCUUGAAAUACCACCCUUUAAUGUUUGAUGUUCUAACGUUGACCCGUGAUCCGGGUUGCGGACAGUGUCUGGUGGGUAGUUUGACUGGGGCGGUCUCCUCCUAAAGAGUAACGGAGGAGCACGAAGGUUGGCUAAUCCUGGUCGGACAUCAGGAGGUUAGUGCAAUGGCAUAAGCCAGCUUGACUGCGAGCGUGACGGCGCGAGCAGGUGCGAAAGCAGGUCAUAGUGAUCCGGUGGUUCUGAAUGGAAGGGCCAUCGCUCAACGGAUAAAAGGUACUCCGGGGAUAACAGGCUGAUACCGCCCAAGAGUUCAUAUCGACGGCGGUGUUUGGCACCUCGAUGUCGGCUCAUCACAUCCUGGGGCUGAAGUAGGUCCCAAGGGUAUGGCUGUUCGCCAUUUAAAGUGGUACGCGAGCUGGGUUUAGAACGUCGUGAGACAGUUCGGUCCCUAUCUGCCGUGGGCGCUGGAGAAUUGAGGGGGGCUGCUCCUAGUACGAGAGGACCGGAGUGGACGCAUCACUGGUGUUCGGGUUGUCAUGCCAAUGGCACUGCCCGGUAGCUAAAUGCGGAAGAGAUAAGUGCUGAAAGCAUCUAAGCACGAAACUUGCCCCGAGAUGAGUUCUCCCUGACUCCUUGAGAGUCCUGAAGGAACGUUGAAGACGACGACGUUGAUAGGCCGGGUGUGUAAGCGCAGCGAUGCGUUGAGCUAACCGGUACUAAUGAACCGUGAGGCUUAACCU